rnacentral:tRNA from 1 species
AUAAACAAAUUAAUGCUUGAAAGAAAGUUAGAAGCUUUCGAAAAUAUUUCAAU